CCUACGGGAGACAGCAGUGAGGAAUAUUGGUCAAUGGCCGGAAGGCUGAACCAGCCAAGCCGCGUGAAGGACGAAGGUGCCAAGCAUUGUAAACUUCUUUUGUCAAGGGACAAAAUCAGGCUCGAGAGCCUGACCGAGGGUACUUGAAGAAAAAGCAUCGGCUAACUCCGUGCCAGCAGCCGCGGUAAUACGGAGGAUGCGAGCGUUAUCCGGAUUUAUUGGGUUUAAAGGGUGCGUAGGCGGACUGUUAAGUCAGCGGUAAAAGCCCGGGGCUCAACCCCGGCGAGCCGUUGAAACUGGCGGUCUUGAGAUGUCGAGAGGUAUGCGGAAUGCGCAGUGUAGCGGUGAAAUGCUUAGAUAUUGCGCAGAACUCCGAUUGCGAAGGCAGCAUACCGGCGCGCAACUGACGCUCAUGCACGAAAGCGUGGGUAUCGAACAGGAUUAGAUACCCUGGUAGUC
rnacentral:rRNA from 1 species